rnacentral:rRNA from 1 species
UGCUUUAUGAAAAUAUAUAAAGUAUUACCUGCCCACUGAAAUAUUUAAAUGGCCGCAGUAUAUUGACUGUGCAAAGGUAGCAUAAUCAUUUGCUUUAUAAAUUAAAGCUUGUAUGAAUGGUAUAAUGUAAAUAUAACUGUAUUUUAUAUAAAAUUAAAAUUUAUUUUUUCAGUGAAGAAACUGAAAAAAAUUAAAAAGACGAGAAGACCCUAAUGAGUUUUAUAUAAAAUUUAUAAAUUAAAUUAAUAUAUUUUAUUGGGGCAAUUAAAGAAUAUAUUUUCUUUUAAAUUAAUAAAAUAAUAAUUAAUGAUUCAUUAAUUAAUGAUAAUAAGUUUAAAUUACCAUAGGGUUAACAGCAUAAUCUUUUUUGAAAGUACAUAUCGACAAAAAGGAUUGUGACCUCGAUGUUGGGUUAAGUUAAUUAUAUAGUGUAGUCACUAUAAUAAUAAGUCUGUUCGACUUUUAAAUACUUACA